rnacentral:lncRNA from 1 species
AACAAUGAUACAACUAUAAGAGACAUAUAAAUAGACCAUCAAUGCAAUAACAAUGAAGUAAGAACUCAUUGGCACAUCAAUAAAGUGUUUUGGAGUCAUCAAUGCCAUAAAAAUGAAGUAGGAACUUAUUGGUAUAUCAAUGAAAUGUUUUGGAGUCAUUAAUAGCACAUGGAUCUUGUUCGAGUAACCGGAUACCUUCUGACAUUCAUUAGUGCAAUAAACAUGUAAGAUUUAGAAAACAAGUAAGUAUUAGAAUGUCUUGACAUCUUGUAGGGUGGAAACAAGUUCAUUGGUAACGUAGGACAUCAUACAAAACCAUUAUGGAUCACAUGUUAUUGAAUAACUUUGGAAACUUUCUUAAUAGAACAAUUGUUCACUUUCAUGCCAAAGAUAUAGUAUAGAGUAUGCUUUACAUACCUGACUGUCAACCUUCAAUACUAGUCCCAAAUGGACUUCUCGUCUUUUCGGAUUACUUAUCUACAAUGAACAUAUAUAGCAAUCUAGUAUUAGCGACCAAACGUCACAAUUCAAUUAUUUGAAUUCACCAAACUAGUGGUUAAGUAGUAAGCCUUAAUUACAC